rnacentral:lncRNA from 1 species
AAAAAGACUUGAUUAUGUCUUAUUUUUCUUUAUUUUGUCCACAGUGUAUUACACAGUUCUCUACAUGGUAAAAGCCCAGUAUCUGUGUAUUGCUUGGAGAAUCACGGAAGGUCAGACCCAAGAGGAAACUUAAGAGCACUGGUUCUGGGGAGACCACUGGAUACAAUGAGGAGAAUGGAGUCCAGAGGGGAGAGGACCAGCAAUGGUACUCGUCUCUCUUGCCUUGGGACCUUGCCCAUCACCCUGCCGUCAGAGACUGCACAGCAAGAAUUGUACCCAAACCAGCAACAACAUCAACAAAAAUUUAAUACUGCUGUCUGGUGAUUUAGAAAAUAAGAAAUGUAAGUCAACUUUCCUGGUGGCUUAGAAGGCAAAGAAUCUGCCUGCAAUACAUGAGACCCAGGUUCAACCCCUGGGUUAGGAAGAUCCUCUGGAGAAGGGAAUGGCCUGGAGAAUUCCCUGGACAAAACAGCCUGGGGGCUACAGUCCAUGGAGUCUCAAAGAGUCAGACAUGACUGAGGGACUAACACUUCCAAGAUAAAAGGGACCCACGGAAACUGCAGAGAGUGGAUCUUCAAGAUUGGUAAGGAUU